AGGAGGAGGAGGAGGAGGACCGCGCUGCCGGCGGAAUGGGAAGUUUGACAAAUCGCUCCAGAGGCCCGAGGAGGAGGGGGCGGGGAGGAGCGGCGGCCCUGCCCCCCCCGCCCCGUCCCCAGACGAGCCCUUAGUCUGGCCCUUGUUUCUACCACUCUGCCGAAACCACUCUCUUCAAGGUCAUCCUCAUCUUCUAUGUUGCCCAGCCUGUGACCAGGACAAGUGGACCAGACAUACAAGUUUCCUGACACAGUGGCAUCUCAAGGGGUGCCUGAUGCCUACCUGCCUGGCACCACGGCAUGGAUUUCUGCACAGAUGCUACCUCUGCGGGCAGAGGCCAGGCUGAGGUUUAUGUGGAUGUCAAGACCAGCCUUCAGUCUGUUUUCCGAUGCAACCACAGCUGCUGCAGGGCCCACCUCAUCUGAGCAGCUCGACAGGUACAGGUGUGAGGGGUCCGCAGGUAGAGCUCAGCCCUGACAUGGCCAGCUUUCUCUCUCUGUAGAGCACCAGCAGCCUUGGGCCAACCUCACCAAGUUCUCUGGAACUUCCUCUGAAGGUCCCUCUCUGUGCUGGCUCUGGGGGGUGUGGAGCAUCAAAGGAGGCUGGGGGAGCAGAAGAACUGGUCUACCAAGGCCACACCCUGGUUGGGGACACAAGUAGACUGCAUCUCUCAUUCUUAUUUGCAGUUUGGUGUGGCUGUCUAAGUUUUGUCAGAUGGAACGUGAGCAGAAGUGAUGUGUUCUACCUCCAGGCCUAACCCAUAAAAAGCCCCUGGGAACACUCCUCCAUGCCUUUGCCGCUUCCAUCAGCUGGACACACAUGAUGAGGAGGAGCCAGGGAAAAGUGGAGCCACAAACUAGAAGGAGCAUGAGUCCCUGAGUGACACUUCAAAGACUGCCAUGUGAGCAGGAAAUAGACAUCAACUGUGUUGAAACUUUGCAUGGUGGACCUAUUUGUUACACAGCUUGGCUGACCCUAAUAUAAUUCCUGUUCUCAGGGAGUUUACAGUCACAUUAAAAAGACUCAGUUGCACAAUUCUGGUACAACGCAGGACUUUCCACAAGGUCGAACGUAUCAGAUGUUCCAUUGCUGUUGGAGGCCCCUCUUGAGUCCUCUGACGUCACACUCUGGUUCCAUACUUGGGUGACUACACAGCUGUCGUCUGGAGUUCUUCCUCACCGCCAACCUGGGAAUUUCCUUCGCCUCUUUCAGCCAUUGGAUUCCCUGCUUCCUGGAGCUUCUGUCUUUUCUUUCUUGGUUUAAUCCCUCCUUUCGAUGGUGCACAACCCCCAGUAGCUUUCUGAUCAUGUAGUUAUGAUGUCUGGGUUAAGCUGGUAGGGCAAAGAAGUUUCUGCCUCUUUCCCCUCUAAAUAAUUAUCCACUCCCCCACCAAAAAAAAAAAAAAGGCAAAUAAAGGAGAGAACAAGAAUGCCAAGCAGAAACACAAACCACUUUUUUUUUUUUUUUUUACAAAAUGAGCUGACAGCCUUAACCUGAUAGUGCAAAGGAUAGAACACAAAUGGGAGAGGCUCGGGACCUUGUUCUACUAUGUUUGCAGCGGCGCAGGAGCCAAUCUGCCAGGUGGAACCUCAAGUAGCUCAGGACACACCACACAAGGCUUAGGAGACAUCACACAUGGCACGGGACACACUCCGUGGGAGGAGUGUGGCCCCAGGCCCCCACUCAUGAGCCUGAGACUUCCUCCCCGAUUCUUUUUGGAAGAUGGGAGGUUGACCCUGUUGAAGGCUAAAGUGAAUAUCAAACCCACAGCAGGGGGACUUGGGGAAAGUCUGCUGCUAAGCAUAGGCCCCCAGCUUCCUUUCCAGUCUGGUUCAUGGAGCAGAGGCAGGUCAGGAGGCCACCUUUUCCUUACGGAACACAAAUCUAGGAAUUUUAACGUGUGUAGAUUCCUGUAACAACUACUAUAAUCAGGAUACAGGAGAGUUCCAUCACCCACCCCCACAAAAUAAACCCACUCCCUCACGUUUUCCCGUUAUAGACAUAGCCUCCCUCCACCCCAGACCCCUGGUAGCCACUGGUCUGUUCUCCACAAUGUGUCUCUUCAAGAAUGUCAUAGAAGUGCAGGAAUAAAGACGCAGAUGUAGAGAAUGGACUUGAGGACACGGGGAGGGGGAAGGGUAAGCUGGGACGAAGUGAGAGAGUGGCAUGGACAUAUAUACACUACCAAACGUAAAACAGAUAGCUAGUGGGAAGCAGCCACAUAACACAGGGAGAUCAGCUCUGUGCUUUGU